rnacentral:rRNA from 1 species
UACGUAGGGGGCGAGCGUUGUCCGGAAUCAUUGGGCGUAAAGAGCGUGUAGGCGGUUCGGUAAGUCGGCUGUGAAAGUCCAGGGCUCAACCCCUGGGAUGCCGGUCGAUACUGCCGGACUAGAGUUCGGAAGAGGCGAGUGGAAUUCCCGGUGUAGCGGUGAAAUGCGCAGAUAUCGGGAGGAACGCCUAUGGCGAAGGCAGCUCGCUGGGACGUUACUGACGCUGAGACGCGAAGGCCAGGGGAGCAAACGGG